rnacentral:sRNA from 1 species
UUUUUGUUCACAAAACAAGUACGGCAUAGGCAGCUGCAGUGCAGGCUUCCCCACAUUGCUUAUUAAUGGGCCUCCGCCCUGCCCUGGAGAAACCAUCACUGCGGAUGAGA